AGGAUAAACGCUGGCGGCGUGCCUAACACAUGCAAGUCGAACGCGCUUUCGGGCUUCGGUGCGAGAGCGAGUGGCGGACGGGUGAGUAACACAUGGGUACCUACCUUGGAGUGAGGGAUACCGGCGAGAAAUCGCCGACAAUACCGCAUAGGCUUCUUCACAAGGGAAGCAAAGUGACGCGAGUCACGCUUUGAGAUGGGCUUGUGGCCGAUUAGCUAGUUGGGGGGGUAACGGCUUCCCAAGGCGACGAUCGGUAGCUGGUCUGAGAGGACGAUCAGCCACACUGGGAUUGAGAACGGCCCAGACUCCUACGGGGGGCAGCAGUGAGGAAUUUUCCGCAAUGGAGGCAACUCUGACGGAGCAACGCCGCGUGCAGGAGGAAGGUUUUCGGAUCGUAAACUGCUUUUCUCGGGGACGAGCAAGGACGGUACCCGAGGAAGAAGCCCGGCUAACUACGCGCCAGCAGCCGC
rnacentral:rRNA from 1 species